UGUGCUUUUCCUACUGUGUGACAUGUCAAACUCAAAAUUACAAAUUUUUAAUUUCAAAUACGCCUUAUACUUUAGAUUCUGUAAAGACAUGUAUUUUUAUACUACUUCUUACCCAUGAAACGGUGAUAUCAGAACGUAUUGAUGUUCUAUUGUAGAAAAGGAAAGGAACCAAUGAAAAAAAACAGAUGAAACUCAGCUUUAUAAAACUAAUACCUGCAAUAAUAGCAGUGAAAGAAGCAGCGGUACAACCUUAUAAACCAAAGGACCAAAUAACACAUCAAAGGUUUAGAAAAAAAGAUAGUUAUGAGUACAACAACUUUAGAAUUUGUUUCGUGUUGUUCGAGUUGAAAUUGGUAAUAUUUGGCCUAUCAGUUGUAAAAAUAAUAUAUCCAUUAAAACACAAACAUUUAGCUAUCCAAGUGACUGAUGCCAUGUUACAAAAUAAAACAUCUCUGAGGCUAAAGGAGUACGUGGAGCUGACUUCUGAACCGCCUGAAAGAGUGCCAAUCAUGAUUACCUGCCCAGCACACCUGAGAGUCAUGAGGAUCGGGACUGUGGUCUGAUUGGAUCACGUGGUCCAUCUGUAGAGCACAAAAGACAUGUGUUAGUUUGAAGUUUGAGAGUCGAGCUGGAGGUCUUCUGCAAUGCUUAUGAUGCUGUUGUCUUCAGGGGCUCUUGUCUUCUGCCUGAAAAUUAACCAUCACCUCACAAGUUUCAGAACAUCUCGCCAAAGGACUGCAGUUGAAAAUUAGCCAGCUGGCUGAUACCGGCACAUGUACAGAAAUGUUAGUUAAUGUGCAUUGUCUUUUCUUUUUUUUAAAUGAAACUUUAAAGAUGGCUCAGUUACAUUUAAUGUCCCAGUAGCUACAAUACCAGGACCUCGCCAAAGUGGAAUGCAGCCUAAUUAAUGUGAAACACGCCUGUGCUUUUCCUACUGUGACAUGUGCUGUGAAAAAUGGUCUAAAGGGCCAAAUGUCUCUACCCUUCAUCUUUCUGAUGCAAGAACUUCAAGACUCACAAGUUUCAGAACAUCUCUUGUGAAAUAAAAUGCUGAAAAACUUGUCUCACUUA